rnacentral:misc_RNA from 1 species
GAACUGCGAUAAGUAAUGUGAAUUGCAGAAUUCAGUGAAUCAUCGAGUCUUUGAACGCACAUUGCGCCCCCUGGCAUUCCGGGGGGCAUGCCUGUCCGAGCGUCAUUGCUGCCCUUCAAGCCCGGCUUGUGUGUUGGGUCGUCAUCCCCUCCGGGGGACGGGCCCGAAAGGCAGCGGCGGCACCGCGUCCGGUCCUCGAGCGUAUGGGGCUUUGUCACCCGCUCGAUAAGGACCGGCCGGGCGCCAGCCGGCGUCUCCAACCUUUUUUUUCUCAGGUUGACCUCGGAUCAGGUAGGGAUACCCGCUGAACUUAAGC